AGUUUGCUUGUAAUUCAACAAGCAUGAAUGCAACUUAUCAUCGAAGCGGAUCUCUUUAUGUACACUGAUUUAUAUACUACACACACACACUCGCACUCGCACUCGCACUCGCACUCGCACUCGCACUCGCACUCGCACUCGUACUCGCACUCGCACUCGCACUCGCACUCGCACUCGCACUCGCACUCACACUCACAGAUAUAUAUACUACACAUAUAUGCGUGUUGUGUAUAGAUUGAUGUGUGCAUAUAUACGAUAUGUAUAUACUGUUAUGUUUAAGCAUGUAUGUAUACUGUUGCGUGCAGUUUUUGUAUAAACUGAUAUAUGUAGACUGAUAUGUACAUGUGUAAAGGGUUUAUAUAUACACUAAUGUACAUGUGUAAAGGGUUUAUAUAUACACUAAUGUAUAAGACCAGGUAUUAUUCUCAGUGAUAUACACAACUAUUAGAACAAUUUGUGUGCGUAUUGAUGUAUAGCAAUAUAUAUCAUUGUUUUCAGUGUAUAUACAACUAUUAGUGUGUAAAAAAUACAUUGAUAUGUGUGUGUGUGCGUGAUGUUUGUAUAUAUUCGAUGUGUGUAUAUUGAUAUGUGUGUGUGUAAAGUGCAUAACUGUAUCUAUACAAUGCGCUAAUAUAUAUAUUGAUGUAUCAGUUUAUACAGUUAUUAACGUAUAUCUACAUUAAUUUAUAUACUACACACACUCACUCACACUUACACUCACACUCACCACUCACACUCAUACACACAUAGACAAAUACACACUCACACUCACACUCACACUCACACUCACACUCACAGAUAUAUAUACUAUACGUGUUUAUGUGUUGUGUAUGGACUGAUAUGUGAAUAUAUACGAUGUGUUUAUACUGAUAUGUUUAUGCGAGUAUAUAUACAUUUGCUUGCUAUCAAUUAUGUACAAUUAGCAAUGGAUAUAUACACAUAUAUGCACACACACAUGCACCGUUAUGCAUUAAUAAGUGCAUAUAUAUUGUGUAUGUGUAUGCUAAUACAUGCAUUCUAUAUACAUUAAUAUAUAUGAUCAUUGAGACACUUAUUAAUAGCUUUUAUAUAUAUAUAUAUAUACAGUGUGUCUAUAAAAGAUAUGUAUAUACUGAUAUGUUUAUGUAUGUAUACACUUGCUAUCUAUAAACACUGAUAUGCGCACACACAUGCACACUUACGUAUUGAUAAUGCAUACAUACAUUUUUAUAUAUACUGAUAUAUAUAAUUAUAUAAACACUUAUUAUCAGUUCAUACAGUUAUUAGCGAAUGUUAUCAGUUUAUACAGUUUAUGCCUUUAUUGACGUAUACGUACACUGAUUUUUAUACUACUCACACACGCACUCACAUUCACCCUCACACUCACACUCACACUCACACUCACUCACAAUCACACUGAUUCUCACAAAUAUAUAUACUAUCACCUCUAAUCUGAUAUGCCUCGCGAAAUUUUAUAUUACUUUGUAUAGAAUUAGGCAUAAGAAUGGGUUUCUUCUCUUGAUGAAUCGGGUAUGUUAAAUACCCAAUUGUGAUAGUCCAUGUAAAUUUUUUUUCAUUGAGUUUUCUCGUAAAUCAACAACCAUGAAAGCAAGUUAUCAUAGAGGUGGAUCUCUUUACGUUAUUCUAUAUACGAGAUCUUGAUCCUGCAAUCUUGAUUUGCUUAAUGGUUCUUUUUUCUCUAGUAUACUACCGCUCUUUCUUCUUUCAUGCAAAUAUGGAGUAAAAUUUCAGAAGCUUUUCUUGUGGUUUGCAAUUUUAUUAACUUUUUCUUAACACACACAAACUCUUGCUUCUUUGAUGCAAAUAUGAAGUGAAUUUUCUGGAGCUUUACUUGUGGUUUGCAAUUUUAUUAAGUUACUUGUUCUUAACACACACAUACUCUUGCUUCUUUCAUGCAACUAUGGAGUGAAUUUUCUGGAGCAUUACUUUUGGUUUCCAAUUUUAUUAAGUAACUUUUUCUUAACACAGGCACACACACACACCACACACACUCACAAACACACUCACAUACGCACACACUCACACACUCACAUAAGCACACACUCACACACUCUCGCACACACACACACUCACACUCUCACUCAUACACUCGCACACACACUCACACUUGCACUCACACUCACGCUCACACUCACACUCACACUCACACUCACACCCACACCCACAUACACACACACCACACUCACACACACAUACACUCACACUCACACUCACACUCACAUUCACACUCGCACUCACACACCACACUCACACACACUCAUACACACACUCACACUCACACUCACACUCACACUCAUACUCAUACACACACACACUCACUGUCACUCUCACUCUCACUUUCACUCACUCACACUCACAUUCACGCACGCACUCACAUUCACACCCGUUCACACACAAGCUCAUACACUCACACUCACACUCACACUCAUACUCACACUCACUCACACUCACAAUGACACACACACUCACACUCACACACACACACACACACUCAUACUCACACACACAUACACACACUCACACUCACAGACUCACACUCCCACAUUCACACGCUCACACUCACACACACACACACUCAUACUCACACACACACACACUCAUACUCACACUCACACUCACACUCACACUCACAUAGACUCACACUCCCACAUUCACACACUCACACUCACACACUCACACUCACACACACUCACGCACCCUCACACUCAUGCAUACACUCACACUCGUAACUCACACUCACAGUCACAGUCACAGUCACUGUCAUAGUUACACUCACACUCAGAUAUAUACUACACAUAUAUGCGUGUUUUGUAUGGACUGUUGUGUGUAUAUAUACGAGAUACAUAUACUGAUAUGUUUAUGCGUGUAUGUAUACAGUUGCUUGCUAUCAGUUGUAUACAAUUAUCAAUAUAUAUAUAUAUAUAUAUAUACUGAUAUGUGCACAUACAUGCACCCAUACGCGUUGAUAAGUGCGUAUAUAUUGUGUAUGCAUACACUUAUACAUGAAUUCUAUAUACACUGAAAUAUAUGACCAUAUAAACAUAUAUUAACAGUUUAUAUAUAAAUAUAUAUAUACAGUGUGUCUAUAUAUGAUAUGUAUAAACUGAUAUGUUUAUACGUGUAUGUAUAAACUAGCUAUCAGUUAAGUAAAGUACUUAUCUUGCUUCUUUCAUGCAAAAAUGGAGUGAAUUUUUUGAAACUUUACUUGUGGUUUGCAAUUUUAUUAAGAAACUUUUUCUUAAUACACACACACUCUUAACACACACACUCUUUAUUAAGUAACUUUUUUUAACACACACACACUCUUUCUUCUUUCAUGCAAAUAUGGAGUGAAUUUUCUAGAGUAUUACUUGUGGUUUGCAAUUAUAUUAAGUAACUUUUUCUUAACACUCACCACAUACACACACACACUCACACUCACAUCCACAUUCACACUCACUCUCACUCUCACACUCACACUCACACUCACACUCACACUCACACUCACACUCACACUCACACUCACACUCACUCACACACACUCACUCUCACACUCAGACACACACACAUAUACACUCACACUCACACACACUCACAUUCACACGAACACACACUCACCACACACACUAACACUAGUAUUGACACUCACACGCACAUACUCAUACACUCACACACGCUCACUCUCGCACAUUCACGCUCAUGCUCACAUUCACACUCAGAUAUAUAGUACACUUUACGCAUGUUGUGUAUGGACUGAUGUGUGUAUAUAUACUAUGAUGUGUUUAUGCAUGUAUGUAUACAGUUGUUUGCUAUCAGUUAUAUACAAUUAUCAAUGUAUGUAUAUAAUGACACAUGCACGCACAUGCACCCUUACCCAUUGAUAAGUGCAAUGUACUGUAUAUGUUUACACUAAUACAUGCAUACUAUAUACAGAUAUAUAUGACCAUAUAGACAUUUAUUAGCACUUUACAUAUAUAUAUACAUAGUGUGCAUAUAUACGAUAUGUAUAUGGUGAUAUGUUUUUACGUGUAGGUAUAAACUUCCUAUCAGUUAUAUAAACACUGAUAUGCGCCCGCACAUGCACCCUUACGCAUUGAUAGGGCAUACGUACAUUUUUAUAUUCACUGAUAUGUAUGACCCUAUGGACACUUCUUAUCGGUUUAUACAGUUGUUGGUGUUUAUGUACACUGAUAUGUAUAUACUCACUCAUGUGCAUAUCUGUAUUGGGUUUAUAUAUACACUAAUAUAUAAGACCAUAUGUGUACUUAUUAUCAGUGAUAUAUAUAAUUAUUAGCUCAAUUUGUAUACGUAUUGAUGUAUAUCAAUAGAUACCAUUCUUUUCAGAGUAGAUAUAUAUAUACUGAUGCAUAUAACCAUAUAAUACAUUAGUUAUAAGCUAUAUAUACAAUUAUUAGUAUGUAAAAAUACAUUGAUAUGUGUGUGUGUGAUGUCUAUAUGUAUAUGAUGUGUAUAUACAGAUUUGUGUAUGUGUAAAGUGCAUAACUAUAUAUUUACAUUACAUUAAUAUAUACGUUGAUGUAUAUGACUAUAUAUACACUUAUUAUUACUAUAUAUCUUUAUUAACGUAUAUGUACACUGAUUUAUAUACUACACACACUCACAGUCACACUGACUCUCACCCUCACCUUCACACUCACACUCACACUCACACUCACACUCCCUCACUCAUACACACAUACACUCACACUCGCACUCGCACUCUCACUCUCACUCUCACUCUCACUCUCACUCGCACUCACACUGACACUGACACUGACACUUAUAAACACUCGCACUCACACUCACAAAUAUAUAUACUAUCGCUUGUAAUCAGAUAUACAAUUGCGAAAUUCCUUAUUACUUUGUAUAGAAUUAGGCAUAAGAAUGGGUUUCUUCUCUUGAUGAAUUGGGAAUGUUGAUUACCCUAUUGUGAUAGUCCAUGUAAAUUUUUUAUCUUAUUUGUACUUGUUUAUUAUUAUUAUUGAUGAGCUUCAUCUUCAUUGAGUUUUCUUGUAAAUCAAGAAGCACGAAAGCAACUUAUCAUAGAUGCGGAUCUCUUUACGUUAUUCGAUAUUUGAGAUCUUGAUAUUUCAUGUUUGAUUUGCUUGAUGGUUCUUUCUUCUCUAUUAUAGUAUUGCUCUUGCUUCUUUCAUGAAAAUAUAGUGUGAAUUUUCUAGAGCUUUACUUGUGGCUUGCAAUUUUAUUAAGUAACUUUUUCUUAACACGCACACACACACACACACUCACACUCACACUCAGUCUCACACUCACACUCACACUAAUUUAUAGGAAUGGGUUUAUAUAUACGCUAAUGUAUAAGGCCAUGUAUAUACUUAUUAUCAGUGAUAUAUAUAGUUAUCAGCUCUAUAUGUUUAUGUGUUGAUGUAUAUAAGCAUGGAAUACAUUAGUUAUCGGCUACAUGUACAAUUACUAGUGUGUGAAAAAUACAUUGAUGUGUGUGUGACGUCUGUAUAUAUAUACAAUGUGUAUAUAUGGAUUUCUGUGUAUGUGUAAAAGUUCAUAACUGUAUAUAUACAGUGUAUUAAUAUUUACUGUUAUGAAAAUACUGUUAAUGGCACAAAUUAAAGCUCAUAGCAUAAUUUUUUACUGAUAAAUAAGAAGUAGAGAGUGUGACUACAUGACCAAGUAAUCAAUAUUUUAUUGUUGAUUGUGUAAACUAUAAACUUACAGGAGCAAGCAAUUGUACCUAUAGGAUUAGUUCCCCAAACUUAAUCCUUCUGCUCUGUUUCCUCAAGAAAAUGAAAAGCCCUCUUCAAACUAUCCCAAAUCAGGGAGAAAAACCCUUUUCAAACUAUCCCAAAUCAGCUUUCCAUUAUCCUAAAUCAGCAUCCCAUCUUCCUUUUCUCGCUCUAAAAAUCAGUUAAGGCCUCUUCCAUUAGGGUUCUUUCUUUUCUCUCUCUAAAAAUCACUUAUGGCGGCCCCUUCCAUUAGGGUUUGUGAAAACUAUUUUCUUCUUCCCUCUUCUUGCUAUAAACCCUAGUGGCUAUGAGCCGAGCCAUAUUUUCUUCUCUUCCUUUCCUUCGUCGUUCUUCCUUCUUCUCUUUACACAGUAAACAUAGAUGUAAAUCCCAAAUUUAUAUGAACUUUUUUCAUCUAAAGAAAUUUAUAAAACUUUAACCACAGUUAUGGAGUGACCAUAGACACCAUACCAUAAUUAAAUAACUGUCGUGACAAAACAAAAAUCAUGUAUUUAUUUUUUGGUACUUGCUAAGUAGGAGUUAUGUUUAAGUAUUUACUAAAUAAAUUUAUAGUAUAUUUAUUUGUUUUUGCAUGUAAUAAGUAGGUGUGAUGUUUCUUAAAGUAUUUAAUGGGUAGAUUUAUAUGGUACUUUUUUUGGUAUAUGCUAAUUAAUUAUGUAUUUAAUAUUGGAUGAGAGUCACAAGACAUCUAAAUCAAUUGACUUAAUUAUAUUAGUCUAGUAAAGUUUUUAUAGAUGAAUUGGUAAUUGAUGGCUUUGACAAAAUUUUUAUUUUUUAGAAUUUCAAAAUUUCUAAUAUGAUAAAUGUAUCCGAUUUUUUUACUCUGAUUUUUUUAGCCUAAUGCGAUAUAUUAACGAUAUCUUUAUAUGAAGUAUUUUUACCAAUCCGUAUUUUUUAUCCAAUUUUUUCAUCCGAUUUUCAAAAUAAAAACGAUUUAUUUCCGAUAUGUAUAUACUGAUAUGUUUAUGCUUGUAUGUAUAAACUUGCUAUCAGUCAUGUACACACUGAUAUGCGCACACACAUGCACCCUUACGUAUUGACAGUGCAUAUAUACAUUUCUAUAUACACUGAUAUAAAUGACCUUAUAGACGCUUAUUAUCAGCUUAUACAGUUAUUAGUGUAUAUGUACACUGAAAUGUAUAUACGCACACUCAUAUGCAUAUUUAUAAAAGGUUUAUAUAUACACUAAUGUAUAAGACUCAUGUAUGUACUUAUUAUCAGUGAUAUAUACAGUAUUGAGCUCAAUUUGUCUACGUAUUGAUUUAUAACAAUAUAUACCAGUGUGUUCAAUGUAUAUAUAUUUAUACUGAUGCAUAUAACCAAACAAAACAUUAGCUAUUUGCUUUAUAUACAGUUAUUAAUUUGUAAAAAAUACAUUGAUAUGUAUGUGUGAUGUUUGUAUACAUACGAUGUGAAUAUACUGAUAUGCGUGUAUGUGUAUGUGCAAAGUGCAUAACUGUAUAUAUACAAUGUAUCAAUAUAUAGAUUUCUAUACAGAUUGACAUAUAUGACGAUAUAUACAUUACUUAUCAGUUUAUACUGUUAGUAACGUAUAUGUAUACUGAUUUAUAUGCUACACACACUCACACUCACACUCUCCCUUAAACUUACACUCACACACUCACUCACAUACACACAUGCACACACACUCACUCACAUACAUACACACUGACACUGACACUGACACUGACACUGACACUGACACUGACACUGACACUGACACUGACACUGACACUGACACUGACACUGACACUGACACUGACACUGACACACUUACACAUACUCACUCACACUCACACUCACAUUCACACUCACACUCACACUCACACUCACACUCACACUCACUCACACUCACACACUCACACUCACAGAUAUAUAUAUUACACAUAUAUGCAUGUUGUGUAUGGACUGAUGUGUGUAUAUAUACGAUAUGUAUACACUAAUAUGUUUAUGCCUGUUUUUGCGAUCUUGAUCUUGAAAACUUGAUUUGCUUAAUGGUUCUUUCUUCUUUAAUAUAGUACUUCUUCUUUCAUGCAAAUAAGAAGUGAAUUUUCUGGUGCUUUACUUGUGGUUUGCAAGUUUAUUAUGUAACUUUUUUUAGCACACACACUCUUGUUUCUUUUAUGCAAAUAUGGAGUGAAUUUUUUGGAGCUUUACUUGUUGUUUCCAAUUUCAUUAAGUAACUUUUUUCUGAACACACGCACACACACACACACACACACACACACUCACUCACACUCACACUCACACUCACACUCACACACACACUCACACGUGCACACACUCACUCACACUCACACUCACUCACACUCACACUCACACACACUCACACUCACUCACACAGUCACAGUCACGGUCACAGUCAGUAUCAGAGUCACACACACACUCGAACACUCACAUUCACACACACGCACACACACUCACACACACACUCUCACUCACAACUCACACUCACACUCACAUUCACACGCCCUCACAAACUCACGCACUCACUCACACACACUCACGCUCACGCUCACACUCACACUCACACUCACACUCACACUCACACUCACACUCACACUCACACACACACUCACACUCACACUCGCACUCACACACACACUUUCACACUGACACACACAGACUCACACACUAACACACACUCACACAGACUCACCCUCACACACACACUCACACUCACAACUUACACUCACACUCACAGAUAUAUGCUACACAUAUGUGUGUUGUGUAUGGACUGAUGUGUGUAUAUAUACGAUAUUUAUAUACUUAUAUAUUUAUGCGUUUAUGUAUACAAUUGCUUGCUAUCAAUUAUAUAUAGUUAUCAAUGUAUAUAUACAUUGAUAUACACACGCACAUGCACCCUUACACGUUGAUAGGUUCAUAUAUACUCUGUAUGUAUACACUAAUACAUACAUUCUAUAAACAUAGAUAUAUAUGAUCUUAUAGACACUUAUUUGCAAUUUAUAUUUAUAUAUGGUGUUCAUAUAUACUAUAUGCAUAUGUUGAUAUGUUUAUGCAUGUAUGUUUAAACUUGCUAUCGGUUAUAUAUACACUGAUAUGCGCACGCACAUGCACCUUUGCGUAUUGAUUGUGUAUAUACAUUUCUAUACGCACACACACUCACACACUCACAUAGGCACACACACUCACACACUCUCGCACACACACACACUCACACUCCCACUCACACACUCGUACACACACACACUUACACUCACACUCACUCACACUCACAGCCACACCCACAUACACACUCACACCCACACACACACACACACACUCACACUCACACACACUCACACUCACAUUCACACUCGCACUCACACACACCACACUCACACACACUCAUACACACACUCACACUCACACUCACACUCACACUCAUACUCAUGCACACACACACUCACUGUCACUCUCACUCUCACUUUCACUCACUCACACUCACACUCACGCACACACUCACAAUCACACUCGUUCACACAAGCUCACACACUCACACUCAUAUUCACACUCAAAUUCACAUUCACUGACACUCACACUCACACUCACACUCACACUCACACUCACACUCACACUCACACUCACACUCAUAUUCACACUCACAUUCACAUUCACUGACACUCACACUCACACUCACACUCACACUCACACUCACACUCACACUCACACUCACACUCACACUCACACUCACACUCACACUCACACUCACACUCACACUCACACUCACAAUCACAUUCACACUCACACACACACACACACACAUACUCUCACACACACACACACUCAUACUCACACUCACACUCACACUCACUCACACACACUCACACUCACACUCACACUCACACUCACUCACAUAGACUCACACACACAUUCACACACUCACACUCACACUCACACACACACACUCACGCACACACUCACACUCAUAACUCACACUCACAGUCACAGUUACACUCACACUCACAGAUAUAUACUACACAUAUAUGCGUGUUGUGUAUGGACUGUUGUGUGUAUAUAUACGAGAUACAUAUAUUGAUAUGUUUAUGCGUGUAUGUAUACAGUUGCUUGUUAUCAGUUGUAUACAAUUAUCAAUAUAUAUAUAUAUAUAUAUAUACUAAUAUGUGCACACACAUGCACCCAUACGCGUUGAUAAGUGCGUAUAUAUUGUGUUUGCAUACACUUAUACAUGCCUUCUUUAUACACUGAAAUAUAUGAUCAUAUAAACAUAUAUUAACAGUUUAUAUAUAAAUAUAUAUAAACAGUGUGUCUAUAUAUAUAUACUGAUAUGUUUAUACGUGUAUGUUUAAACUAGCUAUCAGUUAUAUAUACUAGCUAUCAGUUAUAUGUUUAAACCAGCUAUCAGUUAUAUGUUUAAACUAGCUAUCAGUUAUCAGUUUAUACGUGUAUGUUUAAACUAGCUAUUCAGAUAUAUAUGAAUAUAUAUACACUUUUUAUCAGUUUCUACUGUUAUUAGCGUACCCGUACAUUACUGUGUAUAUGAAUGCACAGGUGGCUAUUGCAGCCAAUAAGGUAAAUGGACAUAUCCCCCCACCCCUCCUUUUUGAUUAUUUUCUUCUCAAUUCUUUCCAUUCAAAUCAUUUUCUUCCAUUUGAAUGAUUUUUCCUUAUACAAUUUUCCAAACUGUGAUAAAUUCAGACCUUAAAGAAUUAUUUCUUCUAGCUAUCACCUCUAAUCAGAUAAGCCUAGGCGAAAUUCUAUAUUAAUUUGUAUAGAAUUAGGCAUAAAAAUGGGUUUCUUCUCUUGGUGAAUUGUGUAUGCUAAAUACCCAAUUGUGAUAGUCCAUCUAAAUUUUGUCUUAUUUGUACUUGUUUUUAUUAUUAUUGAUGAGCUUCAUCUUCAUCGAGUUUUCUUGUAAAGCAACAAGCAUUAAAGCAACUUAUCAUCGAGAUGGAUCUCUUUACAUUAUUCGAUAUUUGUGAUCUUGAUCUUGCAAGCUUGAUUUGAUUAAUGGUUCUUUCUUCUCUAGUAUAGUACUUAUCUUGCUUCUUUCAUGCAAAAAAUGGAGUGAAUUUUCUGAAACUUUACUUGUGGUUUGCAAUUUUAUUAAGUAAAUUUUUCUUAAUACACACACUCUCUUAACACACACACACGCUUCAUUAAGUAACUUUUUCUUAACACACACACACUCUUUCUUCUUUCAUGCAAAUAUGGAGUGAAUUUUCUAGAGUAUUAUUUGUGGUUUGCAAUUGUAUUAAGUAACUCUUUCUUAACACACACUCACACUCACAUUCACAUUCACACUCACACUCAGUCUCACUCUCACACUCACACUCACACUCACACUCACUCUCACACUCAGAUACACACAUACACACUCACACUCACAUACACUCACACUCACACGAACACACACACACACUCACACUCACACACACUCACACACACAUACUCAUACACUCACACACGCUCACUCUCACACAUUCACGCUCAUGCUCACAUUCACACUCAGAUAUAUAGUACACUUAUACACAUGUUGUGUAUGGACUGAUGUGUGUAUAUAUACUAUGAUAUGUUUAUGCACGUAUAUAUACAGUUGUUUGCUAUCAGUUAUAUACAACUAUCAAUGUAUGUAUAUAAUGAUACCUGCACGCACACGUACCCUUACGCAUUGAUAAGUGCGUAUGUAUGGUAUAUGUUUGCACUAAUACAUGCAUAAUAUAUACUGAUAUAUAUGACCAUAUAGACAUUUAUUAGCACUUUACAUAUAUAUAUAUAUACAUAUAUAUAUAUAUAUAUAUAGUUACGAUAUGUAUAUACUGAUAUGUUUUUGCGUGUAUGUAUAAACUUCCUAUCAGUUAUAUAAACACUGAUAUGCGCCUACACAUGCACCCUUACGCAUUGAUAGGGCAUACGUACAUUCUUAUAGACACUGAUAUGUAUGACCUUAUGGACACUUCUUAUCAGUUUAUACAGUUAUUGGUGUUUAUGUACAUUGAUAUGUAUAUACUCACUCAUGUGCAUAUCUG
rnacentral:lncRNA from 1 species